CCCACGCAUUCAACACCCCACUGAAAACCACUGCUCAUUCUCCAUUUUUUCAAAAACCCACCACACGCGAGAGAAAGAGGGGGCUUGAAGGAACAAGAUCUGGUGGCAGCUAAUGACGACGAUGAUGGUGGAUUGAUGGUAAUAGUGAGGGUUUACAACUGAGACAAAAAUCAGCCACUUGAUGUAGGGUUUCAUGAAGGAUUGGUUGUCUGGUAAGAGUUCCGGUGACCUCCCUGCAGAAACAACCAACAGUGGAGAGUACAAGGGUAUUUGUAGGGGAUUGCGACCAGUGGUUCCAUUCCAUGGGGUGAUUGGUAGAUUUGGAUGGCUGUUGGCGCUGAUUGGUUUACCUUGGCGGUUCCCAUUAGAAAUCCACCAAACCCACCGCAAAGAUGUCCGAUUUCCUUUUCUGCACACAAUUUACAAAGGGGUUUUCACAUUAAUAAUAUUCUCCAAUCUUUUUGUUUGAUUUGCAUAGGCGACAAACAUGGGUUUAGGAACAUAUUUAACACGAUUUCAAUUCAAACAAGGAACACAAUCAUCCUAGAACAACUUCUGCAGUGCAACCCAGCAAAACACUUGCAACUACGCUUUCUUUGCACUGCCUCAAUUACUAGCUGGGAUGAACAGACAACUAUACUUCAUUUAAAGUUGUUCUCAUAUGAUCUAUCUGUAUAGGUAGGUUUGUGCUACGGAUCCUCUAUGGAACACAAAUCGGAUUCUUCGUCUUGGGAGCUAGCUUUGUUGCAUUAGAGUGAAAAGAGUUGUUGUUUGAUGCAGAGACAGAGUUUGCAACAACGCCUUUGGUAGUGGCUUCCUUGGUGGAGGAAGAAGCGAAAAUCUGAACAAGGUUUAGGGUAGGCCAUACCAGAGUUGCAUGAUCUUCUUCAGGGCAUCAAACAAGCUGGAGCAGCUCUGCCAACCCGGCCAAAUGCAAACCUUUGAAUCUUUUUACUUGGUAUGGGCGUCAGAUGUUCAUUAGUUUAGUCCGCACAACUAGCAACAGCUUCGCCAACCCGGCCAAAUGCAAACCUUUGAAUCUUUUUACUCGGUAUGGGCGUCAGAUGUUCAUUAAUGGUAUUUUCAUUUUCUUUAAAAAUUUGGAAUAUCUUAAAUUAUAAAACUGUUAACUUUGGGGUGGAGUCUUCCUGGCAUGAGUGGGAAUGCACCUAUGGAUGCUACUAGCAAUCUGUAUUUCAUGCGCAACAACCAACAGUUUCAAGCAUUUUUAUGUAAUAGUGCAAGCUAAUCCACACAUCUUGCAGGUAUUGAAUGACACUCUCUUUUAUAUAUAUAUUUUUAUGUGUGUGUAUGAAUAUGUGCACAACCAAUGCUCCAAGAGUUGGGAAAGCAAGAUUUUCAGCUGGUGCCUCCGGCUAAUUUUCUUCCCUCAAUUAACGAGCCCGCUGAAGGAGAAGAUUGGUUGUUAAGGAGAUUGCUGAACAGACCAUGAAAAAGCGAGCCAUGGUUGAAAGGUUGAAGUGUUUGAAGAAAAGAAGACCUGUUAAAGCUUCAACACCACCAACAUCAUCGAAUAUUAGCAUAUUUGCUAUGGCCAUCGCAGUUCUUUUUUCAUUGUCUUGUCAUUUUUCAAGGUAAACAUAUCUUAGGCAUGUGCUAUGAUUAAUAUUCAUUAAUCUCGAUGAUUGGAUGUAUUAGAAUUCUCUUUUGUGGAGACUCCUUUUUCAUAUAUUGAUGUCGAUUGGUACAUUUUUUUUGUGUUU